ensembl:lncRNA
CAGAGCGGGUGACGUCAGGUGGGGCAGAACCAAUGAGAGGCCGAGUUGAGGGCCGGGAGUGGGAAAGCAUGAAUGAAAAGUGCCGCGCGCCGCUCCCCCCCGGCGCAGAGGCUGCGGGCAGCAGGUAGGUGCCGUGCCGUGCCGUGCCGUGCCGUGCCGUGCCGUGCCGUGCCGUGCCGUGCCGUGCCGUGCCGUGCCGUCAACAGGCUCAGAAAUUCGGAGCUCUCGGCUCCGCGCCCCCUGCAGUGUGGAUCUUGUCCGGCCGCCCCGAGGAAAGGAGGCUGCAGGUGAAGGAGGACGUGAGAAGCGCGGAACCCCCCGAGGUGCGGACUGCAGCCACAUGCCUGGAAGCCCCUGGAGAAGAGGAGGUUGCCCUUUUCCUGCUAGUGCUGUAGACUUCAGGGGUUGGUUGUUAUCUUUGGUUAUCUAGCUGUAUGAGUGGUGUCGAUUCUUCAUAAAGCUAGAUAACCGAAAGUAAAAAUAACCCCAUUACACGCCUGAGGAGGAUGUGGAGAAGAAAGGAAAUUCAUCGAGAGGAAGAGGAGGAAAACAAAAAGAAAAAUGAAAGAGAAAGAAAGAAGAUCAAGAAAAUGAGAGGCGGAAAAAAGAAAGAACAGAGGAGAGAGAGGAAAAAAAAAAGACAACUUUUUGAGACUGGAAUUAAAACCGAGCCAUCUCCGCUCCUCCUCUGCUGCGGUGCUGGGGAUGCCAUUGACUCCAGUGCAGAGAGUAGCUUCCCCUGCUGUGAUGCUCCACUCGUUUCCUGGCCAGCCAAGAGUAAUGCUUGAGUCCUGGUGGAAGUUCAUUCAGAAUUGCCUGGAGUGGAGGCUGGAAAGGAAAACACAACCACAGCAGAGCCUGGAUAUGGGAAGCUGGUAGCAGGACCCAUCUUGGGGACAGUCACUGUGUGUACCUUCCUCCAUCCUCCUCCUCCUCCCAGCAGCUGAUGACCUGGAGCAGCACUGAGCAAGCCUGGCAUAAGGACACCAGGAGCACUCUGGGGAUGGGACACAGCACCAUGCCACACUGGUGAGACUGGGGGGCACUGGGGGGGCACAGGUGAGGUGCCUGGGGCUGCGGAUGGGACAGGGCAUUUAUUAACGUGGCGCAGCUGAAGCGGGUGCUCUGCCAGUGGUCAAGGCUGCUCCACAAACUGAGCAUUGUUUCCCAGUAGGUUCAGCACAUUUUCCCCGCUCCCCCUCCCUUCCCCUUUCCUCUCCUCUCGCCUUCGCACAAAGAUGUCAUUGUGCUGGGAGCUCGGUGAUGGCAGCGUUGUUAUUGGGUUCAAAAAAAGAAGGAAAAAAAAAAAAGAGAGAGAGAAAAGAAAGAAGUGGGGAGGGGGGACCCAACAAGGUGAAGAGGUUUAAAUCAGCUUAGCCCAAAUGCCAAUUAAAAACCAAAGAGGAUUAGGCUUGUGAUCAGCAGAAUAGACCAUCAUUGUGCCCAGCUGAGGGUCCCCACUCUGGGUCCUGCUGUGGCAGUGCAGGGUCCAGCUCUCCAAGCAGUGUGUCCAGGGUGUGGGCAGCAAAAGCAUUGGGGUACCUGAUGGGAGCACCUUUUUUUCCAUGUGUUUUUUCUUUGUUUGAAGUGCAUGCAGGCACUCUUGCCUUGGUUUGAGCUCAGCUGAACAAGGAGAGCUCUUGGUCUCUCUGCCAAGGGGAGGUCUUCCUUAAAUUGCUUUUGGGCUGGGUUGGCUGCCAUCAUGCUGUCUUCAUAGGAGCAAGAGGGCAUCAUCCUGACCUCUGCUCCUGACACUGCGCAUCACCUUCAGUCCUGGGUGUGAUGGAAACACCAGGAGCAUCACAUGAGCUGUCCUGCA